GAGUUUGAUCGUGGCUCAGAACGAACGCUGGCGGCGUGGAUAAGACAUGCAAGUCGAACGGGAGAAUUGCUAGCUUGCUAAUAAUUCUCUAGUGGCGCACGGGUGAGUAACACGUGAGUAACCUGCCCCCGAGAGCGGGAUAGCCCUGGGAAACUGGGAUUAAUACCGCAUAGUAUCGAAAGAUUAAAGCAGCAAUGCGCUUGGGGAUGGGCUCGCGGCCUAUUAGUUAGUUGGUGAGGUAACGGCUCACCAAGGCGAUGACGGGUAGCCGGUCUGAGAGGAUGUCCGGCCACACUGGAACUGAGACACGGUCCAGGACACCUACGGGUGGCAGCAGUCGAGAAUCAUUCACAAUGGGGGAAACCCUGAUGGUGCGACGCCGCGUGGGGGAAUGAAGGUCUUCGGAUUGUAAAACCCCUGUCAUGUGGGAGCAAAUUAAAAAGAUAGUACCACAAGAGGAAGAGACGGCUAACUCUGUGCCAACAGCAGCAGCCGCCGUAAU
rnacentral:rRNA from 1 species